GGGUUGUGAGGUUAAGCGACUAAGCGUACACGGUGGAUGCCCGGCAGUCAGAGGCGAUGAAGGACGUGCUAAUCUGCGAAAAGCGUCGGUAAGGUGAUAUGAACCGUUAUAACCGGCGAUGUCCGAAUGGGAAACCCAGUGCAAUUCGUUGCACUAUCGUUAACUGAAUACAUAGGUUAACGAGGCGAACCGGGGAACUGAAACAUCUAAGUACCCCGAGGAAAAGAAAUCAACCGAGAUUCCCCAGUAGCGGCGAGCGAACGGGAGCAGCCCAGAGUCUGAAUCAGCUUGUGUUAGUGGAACGGUCUGGAAAGUCCGACGGUACAGGGUGAUAGUCCCGUACACCAAAAUGCACAGGCUGUGAACUCGAAGAGUAGGGCGGGACACGUGGUAUCCUGUCUGAAUAUGGGGACCAUCCUCAAGGCUAAAUACUCCUGACUGACCGAUAGUGAACCAGUACCGUGAGGGAAAGGCGAAAAGAACCCCGGCGAGGGGAGUGAAAAAGAACCUGAAACCGUGUACGUACAAGCAGUGGGAGCACCUUCGGGUGUGACUGCGUACCUUUUGUAUAAUGGGUCAGCGACUUAUAUUCUGUAGCAAGGUUAACCGUAUAGGGGAGCCGCAGGGAAACCGAGUCUUAACUGGGCGUUAAGUUGCAGGGUAUAGACCCGAAACCCGGUGAUCUAGCCAUGGGCAGGUUGAAGGUUGGGUAACACUAACUGGAGGACCGAACCGACUAAUGUUGAAAAUUAGCGGAUGACUUGUGGCUGGGGUGAAAGGCCAAUCAAACCGGGAGAUAGCUGGUUCUCCCCGAAAGCUAUUUAGGUAGCGCCUCGUGAACUCAUCUUCGGGGGUAGAGCACUGUUUCGGCUAGGGGGUCAUCCCGACUUACCAACCCGAUGCAAACUACGAAUACCGAAGAAUGUUAUCACGGGAGACACACGGCGGGUGCUAACGUCCGUCGUGAAGAGGGAAACAACCCAGACCGCCAGCUAAGGUCCCAAAGUCAUGGUUAAGUGGGAAACGAUGUGGGAAGGCACAGACAGCCGGAUGUUGGCUUAGAAGCAGCCAUCAUUUAAAGAAAGCGUAAUAGCUCACUGGUCGAGUCGGCCUGCGCGGAAGAUGUAACGGGGCUAAACCAUGCACCGAAGCUGCGGCAGCGACACUAUGUGUUGUUGGGUAGGGGAGCGUUCUGUAAGCCUGCGAAGGUGUGCUGUGAGGCAUGCUGGAGGUAUCAGAAGUGCGAAUGCUGACAUAAGUAACGAUAAAGCGGGUGAAAAGCCCGCUCGCCGGAAGACCAAGGGUUCCUGUCCAACGUUAAUCGGGGCAGGGUGAGUCGACCCCUAAGGCGAGGCCGAAAGGCGUAGUCGAUGGGAAACAGGUUAAUAUUCCUGUACUUGGUGUUACUGCGAAGGGGACGGAGAAGGCUAUGUUAGCCGGGCGACGGUUGUCCCGGUUUAAGCAUGUAGGCUGGUUAUCCGCAAAUCCGGAUAAUCAAGGCUGAGGUGUGAUGACGAGGCACUACGGUGCUGAAGUAACAAAUGCCCUGCUUCCAGGAAAAGCCUCUAAGCAUCAGGUAACAUCAAAUCGUACCCCAAACCGACACAGGUGGUCAGGUAGAGAAUACCAAGGCGCUUGAGAGAACUCGGGUGAAGGAACUAGGCAAAAUGGUGCCGUAACUUCGGGAGAAGGCACGCUGGUGUGUAGGUGAAGUCCCUGCGGAUGGAGCUGAGACCAGUCGAAGAUACCAGCUGGCUGCAACUGUUUAUUAAAAACACAGCACUGUGCAAACACGAAAGUGGACGUAUACGGUGUGACGCCUGCCCGGUGCCGGAAGGUUAAUUGAUGGGGUUAUCCGUAAGGAGAAGCUCUUGAUCGAAGCCCCGGUAAACGGCGGCCGUAACUAUAACGGUCCUAAGGUAGCGAAAUUCCUUGUCGGGUAAGUUCCGACCUGCACGAAUGGCGUAAUGAUGGCCAGGGCUGUCUCCACCCGAGACUCAGUGAAAUUGAACUCGCUGUGAAGAUGCAGUGUACCCGCGGCAAGACGGAAAGACCCCGUGAACCUUUACUAUAGCUUGACACUGAACAUUGAGCCUUGAUGUGUAGGAUAGGUGGGAGGCUUUGAAGCGUGGACGCCAGUCUGCGUGGAGCCAACCUUGAAAUACCACCCUUUAAUGUUUGAUGUUCUAACGUUGGCCCCUUACCGGGGUUGCGGACAGUGUCUGGUGGGUAGUUUGACUGGGGCGGUCUCCUCCCAAAGCGUAACGGAGGAGCACGAAGGUUAGCUAAUCCUGGUCGGACAUCAGGAGGUUAGUGCAAUGGCAUAAGCUAGCUUGACUGCGAGCGUGACGGCGCGAGCAGGUGCGAAAGCAGGUCAUAGUGAUCCGGUGGUUCUGAAUGGAAGGGCCAUCGCUCAACGGAUAAAAGGUACUCCGGGGAUAACAGGCUGAUACCGCCCAAGAGUUCAUAUCGACGGCGGUGUUUGGCACCUCGAUGUCGGCUCAUCACAUCCUGGGGCUGAAGUAGGUCCCAAGGGUAUGGCUGUUCGCCAUUUAAAGUGGUACGCGAGCUGGGUUUAGAACGUCGUGAGACAGUUCGGUCCCUAUCUGCCGUGGGCGCUGGAGAAUUGAGGGGCUGCUCCUAGUACGAGGACCGAGUGGACGCAUCACUGGUGUUCGGGUUGUCAUGCCAAUGGCACUGCCCGGUAGCUAAAUGCGGAAGAGAUAAGUGCUGAAAGCAUCUAAGCACGAAACUUGCCCCGAGAUGAGUUCUCCCUGAGACUUUAAGUCUCCUGAAGGAACGUUGAAGACGACGACGUUGAUAGGCCGGGUGUGUAAGCGCAGCGAUGCGUUGAGCUAACCGGUACUAAUGAACCGUGAGGCUUAACCUUACAACGCCGAAG
rnacentral:rRNA from 1 species